CAGUACCCGCYGAAUUUAAGCWUAUCWCUAAGCGGMGGAAAAGAAACCAACCGGGAUUCCCUCAGUAGCGGCGAGCGAAGCGGGAAAAGCCCAUCGCCGAAUCCCCCGUCGGACCUCGGCGGUUUGGGAACUGUGGCGUAAGGGUCCGACUCGUCGGGCGUCUGACCGUCCGAACAAGUCCCGCGGGACAGGUGUGCUCCCAGAGUGGGUGUGAGGCCUUUAGUUCGGUCUGGGUCUUCUGCUCGGCGCAGUCGGUACCUGAGAGUCGAGUUGCUUGGGAUCGCAGCUCAAAGUGGGUGGUAAGCUCCAUCUAAGGCUAAAUACUUGCACGAGUCCGAUAGCGAACARGUACCGUGAGGGAAAGUUGAAAAGAACUUUGAAGAGAGAGUUCAGUCRUAGCUGUUUC
rnacentral:rRNA from 1 species